CUUUGCAAGUAUAUAGUCGUAUGUCGACAUUAGAUGGAAUUAUAUUAGGAACUAACAAGUUCAUGAAAAUUAAAAUUACGAAAACAAAACGAGUGACUUUAGUGAAGAAAGUGUGUUGUCGAACAAUGACUUUUAGUAAAAAAGUGCUUUGAAAGGUUUCUAUUGCAUAUUUAUUCGAUAUUACUCAAACAUUCAGUCAAAUAAUAGAAAAAUGAUGAACUUUUUAUAAUCCUGUUGUCCGGGUGAUUUUCUUUAGUUUUCUCCGUCAUCGAUAACUUAACUCGUAACGUAAUUUCGUAUCGAAAAUUGAAAAACAUAAAGAGUGUAAUCAUGAGAACAAAAUUAUAAGUGGAAGGAUCUAGACUAAUCAAAGAUAGACAUUAUAGCAACAAAUAUAAAAAACUGGAAAGAUCACUAGAAUAUUUUAAAAACAAAGUGGCUUGUGUUAGAGAAAUAGUUUUUUUCAGCUUAGUAAAUUUCUGAGGGUGGGUAAAAAUAAGAUUCCAGGAUGACGGGUGUCGAAGAAAGGAAAGGUGGUGGCGAGGGUGAAAACAACGAUCUGAGCGCCACUGAUGAUGUACAACAAAAUGGUACUACAGAAAAAGCUCCUGUUGUUACUGGAACAAAUAUGGAAACUCUUCCACGUUCUGGAAAACAGAGUGAUCCAAGUACUGCGUUUCUUCGUGCGGCUCGUGCUGGUCAGCUUGAAAAAGUUUUGGAAUUUCUGGAAUCUGGAGUAGAUAUCAAUGCUUCGAAUGCUAACGGACUAAAUGCUCUUCAUCUAGCGGCAAAAGAUGGCCACUUGGAGAUUGUACGAGAGUUAUUAACGCGAGGUGCAAUUGUAGAUGCAGCUACAAAAAAAGGAAACACUGCUUUACACAUAGCUUCACUUGCUGGUCAGGAGGAAGUAGUACAAUUGCUCGUUCAACGAGGUGCUUCUGUUAACGCACAAUCUCAAAAUGGUUUUACCCCACUCUAUAUGGCGGCACAAGAAAAUCAUGACUCUGUAGUUAGAUUUUUGCUUAGUAAAGAUGCAAAUCAGACUCUUGCAACUGAGGAUGGUUUUACUCCAUUAGCUGUUGCGAUGCAGCAAGGUCAUGAUAAAGUUGUUGCAGUGCUUUUAGAGAAUGAUACCCGAGGCAAAGUACGGCUACCAGCACUUCAUAUUGCAGCAAAAAAAGAUGAUUGCAAAGCUGCAGCUUUAUUACUUCAAAAUGAUCACAAUCCUGAUGUAACUUCAAAAAGUGGUUUUACUCCACUCCAUAUCGCUGCUCAUUACGGAAAUGAUCGAAUUGCAUCUUUGCUUUAUGAUAAAGGAGCUGACGUUAACUUUGCUGCUAAACAUAAUAUCACGCCAAUGCAUGUGGCAGCUAAGUGGGGAAAAAUAAAAAUGGUAAAUUUAUUAAUGAGUAAAGGAGCCAACAUUGCAGCCAAAACGAGAGAUGGUUUGACACCACUUCAUUGUGCAGCACGAGCUGGACAUCAUGAAGUAGUCGAUAUUCUUAUUGAAAAGGGAGCUCCAAUAGGUGCAAAAACAAAAAACGGUUUGGCUCCUCUUCAUAUGGCAUCUCAGGGUGAUCAUGUUGAUGCUGCUCGUAUAUUACUUUAUCACCGAGCACCAGUUGAUGAAGUUACCGUGGAUUAUCUUACUGCUCUUCAUGUAGCAGCUCAUUGUGGACAUGUUCGUGUUGCUAAGCUUUUACUUGAUCGCAAUGCAGAUCCAAAUGCUCGUGCAUUAAACGGUUUUACACCACUUCAUAUAGCUUGUAAGAAAAAUAGAGCCAAGGUUGUUGAGUUACUUUUAAAGAAUAAGGCUAGUAUUGAAGCUACUACAGAGUCAGGUCUUACGCCUCUACAUGUUGCUAGUUUUAUGGGUUGCAUGAAUAUCGUAAUAUAUUUAUUGCAAAAUGAAGCUAGUCCAGAUAUUCCAACUGUUAGAGGUGAAACGCCACUCCAUCUUGCUGCACGUGCGAAUCAAACAGAUAUUAUUCGGAUACUUUUGAGAAAUGGAGCACAGGUCGAUGCUAGAGCUAGAGAAGAACAAACGCCGCUUCAUGUUGCAUCUCGAUUAGGAAAUGUUGAUAUUGUCAUGCUUUUACUUCAACAUGGAGCCAAUGUUAAUGCCACAACGAAAGAUUUAUAUACUCCUCUCCAUAUUGCUGCUAAAGAAGGACAAGAAGAAGUGGCAUCUGUUUUAUUAGAAAAUGGUGCUUCGCUUAAUGCAAUGACUAAAAAAGGCUUUACCCCUUUGCACUUGGCAGCUAAAUACGGAAAUAUGAAUGUUGCGAGACUACUAUUACAAAAAAAUGCACCAGUUGAUGCUCAAGGAAAGAAUGGCGUUACUCCUCUUCACGUAGCAUCACAUUAUGAUCAUCAAAAUGUUGCUUUAUUAUUAUUAGAUAAAGGCGCAUCACCACAUGCCAUGGCUAAAAAUGGUCAUACACCCCUUCAUAUUGCAGCUCGUAAAAAUCAGAUGGAUAUUGCUACAACUUUAUUAGAAUAUGGUGCAAAAGCUAAUGCAGAAUCGAAAGCAGGCUUUACACCACUCCAUUUAAGCGCUCAAGAAGGUCACACUGAUAUGUCUACUUUACUGAUUGAACAUAAAGCUGAUAUAAAUCACAAAGCCAAGAAUGGACUCACGCCGCUUCAUUUAUGCGCACAAGAAGACAAAAUGAAUGUUGCUACAAUACUCGUAAAAAAUGGUGCCCAAGUUGAUGCCAAAACUAAGGCUGGAUACACACCCUUGCACGUGGCGUGUCAUUUUGGUCAAGUUGCAAUGGUUCGUUUUCUAUUGAGAGCUGGAGCUGCUGUUGACACAAGUACAGGAGCUGGCUAUACUCCAUUACAUCAAGCUGCACAACAAGGCCAUUCGCUGGUUAUUAAUUUACUUCUUGAAAGCAAAGCUAAACCUAAUGCAGUAACUAACAAUGGACAAACUGCUUUAGCAAUCGCACAAAAACUUGGAUAUAUCAGCGUCGUUGAAACACUCAAAGUUGUAACAGAAACAGUAAUUAUGACGACACAAACAACGACUAUUGAAGAAAAAUAUCGAGUUCAAGCACCAGAAUCAAUGCAGGAAACGUUUAUGAGUGAUAGUGAAGAUGAAGGUGGUGGUGAUGAAAUCGGCAUUGCAGCCAUGAAUGUGUAUGGACAACCGACUCAUGCGCAACAUGUGUAUCUCCCUUCCUACUACCAGGGCCAAAUGACUUAUACUCGCGAAGAUCCUAUGCUCAGCGAUCAACAACAAUAUCGUUACAUGACUGUUGAUGAUAUGAAGUCAAUGGGAGACGAUUCAAUGAGAGUUAAUGUCACUGAUGAUGAGAGAGACAAUCGACAUUCCGGAGGAACUAUCGUAGCUGAUUUGAUGAAUAAGGAGAGUUAUUAUCGAUCAAAUGCAGCCAAUUUAAAACCAGAUAAUAUUGAUAUUAAUAGGCAUCCAGUUCACGUAGGACCGUCACUAGAGUCCUUAAGUUGGUCGCUGGCAGCCCUUGGUAUCAUACCAAAAGGACAAGGAAUGUGGAGGGACAGCAUUCCAUCUUGGAAAAACUUCUUAGUUUCAUUUCUGGUGGAUGCACGUGGAGGUGCCAUGCGAGGAUGUCGGCAUAGUGGUGUACGCGUUAUUGUGCCACCACGAAAAGCUGCAAUGCCUAUGAGAAUUACUUGUAGAUAUCUUAAGAGGGAUAAAUUGACAAAUCCACCUCCUCUUAUGGAAGGCGAAGCUCUUGCCAGUCGAAUACUUGAACUUGGACCAAUUGGGGCUAAAUUUUUAGGGCCUGUAAUUAUAGAAGUUCCACAUUUUGCCUCUUUACGAGGAAAAGAAAGAGAAAUUGUAAUUCUCAGAUCCGACAAUGGAGAAACUUGGCGGGAACAUACUCUUGAAGCUAGUGAAGAGGCAGUACAGGAUGUCCUCAAUGAAAGUUUUGAAGGCGAAGAAUUAAGUCAACUAGAAGAUCUUCAGACUUCACGAAUUGUAAGGAUCCUCACAGUUGAUUUUCCGCACUAUUUUGCUGUAGUAUCUCGAAUCAGACAAGAAGUUCAUGCUGUUGGGCCUGAGGGUGGAACAGUGUCAUCAUCAGCAGUACCUCAAGUACAAGCUGUGUUUCCACCGGCUGCACUUACUAAGAAAAUUAGAGUUGGCCUACAGGCUCAUCCAAUAUCUGCUGAAUUGGUAGCGAAGCUUUUAGGCAAUAGAGUGGCAGUAUCUCCAAUUGUAACUGUUGAACCACGCCGAAGAAAAUUCCAUAAACCUAUUACAUUAACAAUACCUGUACCUCAAGCUGCAAAUAAAGGCAUGAUUAAUCAGUAUUCUGGGGAUGCGCCAACUCUAAGGCUUCUAUGCAGUAUAACUGGGGGUCAGUCUCGGGCGGUUUGGGAGGAUGUCACUGGAUCAACGCCUCUUACCUUUGUUAAGGAUUGUGUAUCUUUCACUACAACUGUAUCUGCGAGAUUUUGGCUUAUGGACUGUCGAAAUAUUACUGAUGCUACGAGAAUGGCAACUGAGCUCUAUACCCAUGCAACUCAUGUUCCUUUUAUGGCUAAGUUUGUAGUGUUCGCAAAGCGCGUAGAUCCACUCGAAGCUAGACUACGGGUCUUUUGUAUGACUGAUGAUAAAGAAGAUAAAACUCUAGAACAUCAGGAACACUUUACAGAAGUAGCAAAAAGUCGUGAUGUUGAAGUCCUUGAGGGCAAAACUCAGUACAUGGAGUUUGCGGGUAACCUUGUACCAGUUUUGAAGAGUGGUGAACAACUUCAGUUACCUUUCCGAGCAUUUAAGGAAAAUCGUGUACCUUUUACGGCAAGAAUAAAAGAUCCAGAUGCAGCAGAUAUGGUUGGUAGGAUUAUGUUUAUGAAUGAACCGAAAAUAGCUAAGGGCGAACCUCCACAAACACCAAUAUGUACCCUUAAUAUCUUGCUACCAGACAAAAUUUCUCCAGAAAUCGGUCAUUCUGAACUUGAUUUACUUGAGUUAUCAAAAAAUUAUAGUUUCUUACGCGAUGGUGGUUUGAGUCGACCGGACACUAUUCACAGAGCAACAAUUCGCCUAACAGAUAUUGCUAAUUUACUUGAUAGUGAUUGGGAAAAAUUAGCUGAGGAAUUAAAUAUAUCUCCUAACGAUGUGGAACUAAUUAAACGAGAGCAUGUCGGUAAACCUGCUCUUCAAGCUGCUACCAUGUUCAAACUUUGGCAGAAUCAUGGAAAUAAAGCUACAGGAAAUACCCUUGAGAAAGCAUUAAAUAAAAUUGGUAGAGAGGAUAUUGUGAAAAAGUGCAUUUUUAAUGUAGAAUUGGUAACUGAUGACGUGGAGAAAGCUGUAGCAAGAGUUCGACUUGAUCAGCCAGGUUUUGACUCGCUAAAAGAUGAAUUGGGAUCUUCAAGAGAUUCCUCAUUGAAACGAGACGAGUCUUUAGUAGGUCGAAAACUAGACUAUGAAGAGCUUGAUCAUAUGAAAGAUUCAGAAUCUAUCGAAAAUUUAACCAGUAUCGAAAAUGUGUUGCCUAAACAUCAGAAAAAGCAGCACAUAACAAUCACCAAUGGCACUGUGUUUAAUAGUACUUCAACCCCAGUAAAAAAUAAAUAUGCUAGUGAGGAGAAAGAUAUUGGUGACGAUAUGGCAGAAUUUCUUGAGCAUAAGUAUCACAUUACUGAGAAAAUGACGAAAAAAACACAAGACGAAAUUAACGAUGACAAUAGAAAUCGACAAAAAGUAAUUGAAGAUGCCAACCGAUUAGUUACUGGUAUUUUACAAGAUGCUGAAAAAGAGAAGAAAUGUAUGAUGGAGGGUGUGGGGGUUUCGCGCAGUGGGGGUAAAGAGGCAGGAGGUGCUAUAGAUGUUCUCGAUAAUAAUGUUUCUAUUUCAUUAGCUCAAAGUAUUAGAAACACAGUUAAUAAAGACUCUUUAAUUGUCAAAGAAAAUUUCAUGAAGCCUAGUUUUCUCGAAGAUUCUCAAAUUAUAAAUAACUCCAAAAUUACAUCAAUACCUGAAGCAAUAUCUACUCAAACUUAUAUUGGUCCCGAUAAAACGAGUACAACAUACAAAGAAAAUGAAGAAAUUACUAAGAAACCUACUACUGCAAAAGAAAUGUUAGAUAUAUAUUCUAACAGUAAUAGAGACAUUGACAACUCUCAAGAAAAUAUUAUAGAAGCCGGAAACCGUCAUGAAACACCUAUAAACAUAAACGUUGAUGACUACAAUGAUAAUCAAACAAAAAAAAAAGAAAAGCGCAAAAUAUUACCAGAAAUUUUUAAAAGAUCGAAAUUAAGAGAAGAAAAGACUACAGAUUCUCAAGAAACAUCUGCGGAAGGUGAAAAUGGAGAGUUCAGAAAAAACACGGAAUUUAUCAAAGACACCACAAAAAAUGUCAAACAUAUCAAAGAACUAUCUGCAGAUUUGGCGUUUAAUGCUACAAAUGAUAUAAUGAAUGACAACAAAAAAUUGAUAGCGAGCAGUCGACACCGUCAGUUAGUAUGGUCAACUGCUGACUUCUUGUACGACGCAAAAAAAAGUGCAGAAAAAUUCAUUUCUGACGCAAAUAUAGAAAACAAUCAUACCGAUGGAAUAGAGAAAAAUAGAAAACAACCGGAGGAUGACCAAAAAACACAGCUAAAUGCAGAAAUUCAUACAACAGAUCAAAAAUCAAAAUAUGAAACACUUUCGAAAAAGUCAGAGAGUUCGAAAAAAAAUGAUUCCAAAAGAACGAAAACCAAAUUACCUACAGAACCUCAGCAUUCCAAUGAAGAUAGAGAAAGAUUGGCCUCAGAACUAAACAUUGCUCGUGUACAAUGUAAACAAAGUGAUAUUACACGUAAAACAGAGAUAAAAUUAAUAAAGAAGAAAGAAUCCUCCACAAAGAAAAUAAAUAAAGACAACGAUAGAAAAUAUGACACAUUAACGAAAGAAAAGACAGAAACACCAACAUUAUUUUUCGGAAUUUUUAAAAGUUCAAAAACGGAAAAAGAAAACAGUAGUAGUUCACGAGACGAAAGAUCGUUGAGAAUAGAAUAUGACGAAAAAGAAAACAAAAAGGUUACAUUAACUGACAAGGAAGGUGAUAACAACGAGACAGAUCGUAAGAAUAAAGAAAAUAAUGUUGCCCACAUAAAAGUAUCUGAGAUAAUGAACACAAUAGAUAUAGUAAAACCAGAAGUUACUGAGGAAUUAAAAUUAACAUCUGACGAAGUAAAUUCUUCUAGAAGUACGGUAGAGCGUGAAAUCGAUGAUUCUCUGGAAUCUAUUAAAAAUAAAACAUCGAAAGAAGCUAAAAAAGCUAAAGAUAAAAGUAAAGGAUUUUUUUCGGGAAUUUUCAAGGGUGUAAAACAUGCAGCUGAUGAAGUUGUUGACGAUGUAAAAGAGUUUGUUGAUGAGACCAAAAAAGAAGCUGGGGAUAAAGGAAGUCAUCGUAAAGAAAAAACAGCCGUCGACGAUGGUACCGGCAUUGACGACCAUGUAAAGGUGAUGCAAGAAUACGCUAUUCAUGCGACUGGUAAAGAAAACCAAAAUCUAUUGAAUGAAGUGAUGGAUUCUUCACAAAAAGCUGUUGAUAAAGUUAUUCAAAAAGCUGCUGAUAGUGCAGGUACUUUAGCUAAAGUAAUUGAUAAAGCGACGUGUGAUGUUGUUUCUGAAGGAAUUGUUAAAAAAAAUUCUGCAAAAGAUGAAGUAAUUGAAAAAAUCGAGAACGACAUUGGUGUGGCGGAGACUGAACUUUCAGAAGAAGCUCAUCAGCUGGAGAUUGAUGCAGAAGGCUCGAAAAGAUCGCUCGAAAGUAGCGUUAACCGUGUAGUCGAUGGUGUCUAUAAACCAGUAUCUGAGACAAUGAACACAAUAGAUAUAGUAAAACCAGAAGUUACUGAGGAAUUAAAAUUAACAUCUGACGAAGUAAAUUCUUCUAGAAGUACGGUAGAGCGUGAAAUCGAUGAUUCUCUGGAAUCUAUUAAAAAUAAAACAUCGAAAGAAGCUAAAAAAGCUAAAGAUAAAAGUAAAGGAUUUUUUUCGGGAAUUUUCAAGGGUGUAAAACAUGCAGCUGAUGAAGUUGUUGACGAUGUAAAAGAGUUUGUUGAUGAGACCAAAAAAGAAGCUGGGGAUAAAGGAAGUCAUCGUAAAGAAAAAACAGCCGUCGACGAUGGUACCGGCAUUGACGACCAUGUAAAGGUGAUGCAAGAAUACGCUAUUCAUGCGACUGGUAAAGAAAACCAAAAUCUAUUGAAUGAAGUGAUGGAUUCUUCACAAAAAGCUGUUGAUAAAGUUAUUCAAAAAGCUGCUGAUAGUGCAGGUACUUUAGCUAAAGUAAUUGAUAAAGCGACGUGUGAUGUUGUUUCUGAAGGAAUUGUUAAAAAAAAUUCUGCAAAAGAUGAAGUAAUUGAAAAAAUCGAGAACGACAUUGGUGUGGCGGAGACUGAACUUUCAGAAGAAGCUCAUCAGCUGGAGAUUGAUGCAGAAGGCUCGAAAAGAUCGCUCGAAAGUAGCGUUAACCGUGUAGUCGAUGGUGUCUAUAAACCAGUAUCUGAGACAAUGAACACAAUAGAUAUAGUAAAACCAGAAGUUACUGAGGAAUUAAAAUUAACAUCUGACGAAGUAAAUUCUUCUAGAAGUACGGUAGAGCGUGAAAUCGAUGAUUCUCUGGAAUCUAUUAAAAAUAAAACAUCGAAAGAAGCUAAAAAAGCUAAAGAUAAAAGUAAAGGAUUUUUUUCGGGAAUUUUCAAGGGUGUAAAACAUGCAGCUGAUGAAGUUGUUGACGAUGUAAAAGAGUUUGUUGAUGAGACCAAAAAAGAAGCUGGGGAUAAAGGAAGUCAUCGUAAAGAAAAAACAGCCGUCGACGAUGGUACCGGCAUUGACGACCAUGUAAAGGUGAUGCAAGAAUACGCUAUUCAUGCGACUGGUAAAGAAAACCAAAAUCUAUUGAAUGAAGUGAUGGAUUCUUCACAAAAAGCUGUUGAUAAAGUUAUUCAAAAAGCUGCUGAUAGUGCAGGUACUUUAGCUAAAGUAAUUGAUAAAGCGACGUGUGAUGUUGUUUCUGAAGGAAUUGUUAAAAAAAAUUCUGCAAAAGAUGAAGUAAUUGAAAAAAUCGAGAACGACAUUGGUGUGGCGGAGACUGAACUUUCAGAAGAAGCUCAUCAGCUGGAGAUUGAUGCAGAAGGCUCGAAAAGAUCGCUCGAAAGUAGCGUUAACCGUGUAGUCGAUGGUGUCUAUAAACCAGUAUCUGAGACAAUGAACACAAUAGAUAUAGUAAAACCAGAAGUUACUGAGGAAUUAAAAUUAACAUCUGACGAAGUAAAUUCUUCUAGAAGUACGGUAGAGCGUGAAAUCGAUGAUUCUCUGGAAUCUAUUAAAAAUAAAACAUCGAAAGAAGCUAAAAAAGCUAAAGAUAAAAGUAAAGGAUUUUUUUCGGGAAUUUUCAAGGGUGUAAAACAUGCAGCUGAUGAAGUUGUUGACGAUGUAAAAGAGUUUGUUGAUGAGACCAAAAAAGAAGCUGGGGAUAAAGGAAGUCAUCGUAAAGAAAAAACAGCCGUCGACGAUGGUACCGGCAUUGACGACCAUGUAAAGGUGAUGCAAGAAUACGCUAUUCAUGCGACUGGUAAAGAAAACCAAAAUCUAUUGAAUGAAGUGGUGGAUUCUGUAAAAGAGUUUGUUGAUGAGACCAAGAAGGACGUAGAAGAUCAGUUUGGGUCGUAUUGUUUACACGAUCGUGUUAGUACUGGCCAAUCGCUAAACACAGCCAAUAUAGAAAUAUCUCAUGAGUUAGGGCACCUCGAGCCUCGCGUUGAUCAGUCUGUUUCCACAGUCUUUUCUGAAUCUGUGCGUCUGGCAACGGCAUCUUCGCCAUUCAACCCUGAAGAAUUGGGUGAUUGUAAUAUUGAAGAUGUUACCGAGGAAGCAACUAUACGAGCCCGAAUUAUUGCGAAUCAAGAUUUAGCAGACAUGAAAUCUGAGUCUAAUAAUGAAGUAAAUAAGAAAGAUGAAAUGAACACCCCUAACAUUUUGGACCAAGAUUCUACUGUAAUGACAUCAAAAACAGCUGCAGAGUGUAUUUCAGACGAUACACAAGCAUUUGAUGUUAAUAAAGAGACAGCUACCAUGGCUGAUAGAAUAAUCCCAAUAAAAGAGAAAUUUUUUAGAUCAUAUGAAUUUUCUACAGAGUUGAAAGAUAUUCUUACCGAUACAGAAAAACUUGAGAAUAUAACAGAAUAUAAUAGCCAUGGUUUCAAAACAACACAAACUUUUGCUAACGAAAAUAUUCACAUUUUAAACUUGAAAGAUGAAAGAGUAAAUGAACAAAGUACUUCUGGCGUUAUUUUGAAAGAAACUAUACGAACAAUUAGUACAAAGAGCUCAUGGGAUUCUUCAAGAUCUAAAGAUGAUCAAGAUAAUUGGGAUCAAACUCAGUUUUCGUUAGAUACUCCAAGUUCAGGUGAUCCAGGUUUAACGAAAAAUGGUGGCUCCAGACACGAACUAUCGAGUGAUAGCGAUAGUGAAGGUUCGUCACCACCCAGAAGACAGUCUUUGAGCAAGAGGCGUACACUUGGCAGCUCUAGCGGAUCAGACGUUGCCUUACAUGAGGGUGCAGAACUUUCCCCUUUGGAGGACGACCAAGCAGAAAACCAUAUCGUACAAUCGGCCAAGAAAUGCUAUACAGUAUGGACUGCAUACAAGCCUAAUGGGAAGAAGACUGGUCAUAGUUCAACCAGAUACAUUUGGAUAAGGGUGACAUUUUUGAUGUUGGUUGGUCUAAGUGCAAUUUACCUUGUCUUGGAACCCCGAGUACUUCAACGUGCUCUCUCAAACCAUAACCCAUUAUAUUCUGGAAUCUGACUUUUUGCAACACAGUGAGCCAUCUUUUACUGAAACUACAACCACUGAGGUUGAUCUACUCAUAAAUGACAGAGUAACAAGAACAACAAGAACAAUGACAUCAUCAAUUACAUCUACAGAAGAAGUAGACAAUCCACAUGAG